UCAGAUUGANCGCUGGCGGCAGGCUUAACACAUGCAAGUCGAGCGGUAGCAGGUCCUUCGGGAUGCUGACGAGCGGCGGACGGGUGAGUAAUGCAUAGGAAACUGCCCAGUAGUGGGGGAUAGCCCGGGGAAACCCGGAUUAAUACCGCGUACGCCCUUCGGGGGAAAGCAGGGGCUCUUCGGACCUUGCGCUAUUGGAUGUGCCUAUGUCGGAUUAGCUGGUUGGUGGGGUAAAGGCCUACCAAGGCGACGAUCCGUAGCUGGUCUGAGAGGAUGAUCAGCCACGUCGGGACUGAGACACGGCCCGAACUCCUACGGGAGGCAGCAGUGGGGAAUAUUGGACAAUGGGGGCAACCCUGAUCCAGCCAUGCCGCGUGUGUGAAGAAGGCUUUCGGGUUGUAAAGCACUUUCAGUGGGGAGGAAGGCUCAAAGGUUAAUACCCUUUGGGAUUGACGUUACUCACAGAAGAAGCACCGGCUAACUCCGCGCCAGCAGCCGCGGUAAUACGGAGGGUGCAAGCGUUAAUCGGAAUUACUGGGCGUAAAGCGCGCGUAGGUGGUUUGAUAAGCGAGAUGUGAAAG
rnacentral:rRNA from 1 species